AUAUUAUUAAGCGGAGGAAAAGAAACUAACCAGGAUUCCUUUAGUAACGGCGAGUGAACAAGGAACAGCCCAUCACCGAAUCCGUCCCGGUAAACGGGAACGGAAUUGUGGUGUUAAGGAUAGUUUUCGUAGCAUGGUUGCCGGCCCGAGUUCUCUUGAAUGUGGCUUUCCCAGAGCGGGUGACAGGCCUAUAGUGACCGGACGACUAUGUUACUUGUGCUGUCCCGAGAGUCGGGUUGCUUGAGAUCGCAGCCCUAAGACGGGUGGUAUACUCCAUCCAAGGCUAAAUACAGUCGCGAGACCGAUAGCGCACAAGUA
rnacentral:rRNA from 1 species